CAGUAGCCGCGGGAAUACGUAGGUGGCAAGCGUUGUCCGGAAUUAUUGGGCGUAAAGGGCUCGCAGGCGGUUUCUUAAGUCUGAUGUGAAAGCCCCCGGCUCAACCGGGGAGGGUCAUUGGAAACUGGGAAACUUGAGUGCAGAAGAGGAGAGUGGAAUUCCACGUGUAGCGGUGAAAUGCGUAGAGAUGUGGAGGAACACCAGUGGCGAAGGCGACUCUCUGGUCUGUAACUGACGCUGAGGAGCAAAAGCGUGGGGAGCGAACAGGAUUAGAUACCCGCGUAGUCCCUGUCUCUUAUAC
rnacentral:rRNA from 1 species